AUUUUAUGCUAUCAACAAACAAAUUUCUUAAAUACCUCUUUCAUAGGUUAAAGGCUCUUAGUUCGUUUGAUUUACACAGAUUGGUUUAUAUGUUACCGAUAAUGUCUACAUGCUCGCAUUGUUUUCUAGAAAACAAAGUUGUUUAUAUAGUUCCAUUUCCUCUUUGAUUCAAUUUAAUAUUUUCUCCAGCUUUUGUAACAUGGUUCAUAUGGGCAUGGAUAAGAGGGCCGGUGCAGUUGACACGGGAAAAUAAAGAAGAAAUAACGAUCUUGUUACAGUUACAUAUAUUAAUUUGGCCGUUUCAUUGGAAGCUACUCAAGCAAUAGGGAAUCUAGCUCAAGGGUUCAUAUAGUUUGAAACAUGACUCUGGAACUAUGUUGUAAGGGUUCGGGCAUCUGACUGGGCGAGCAAAGAACUCUCAAGAUAAUAUCCCUUCAGCAUAGCAUAGAAAGAGUGGGAACGGAGAGGUAUCUAUGUAUUGUCAACAUUGCUUCCCAGUUCGACUUGUUGUCUGGUUGCAGUGAUAUUAGUGUACAGAGUUUUCCAGGAGAUCCAUUUCCCCAUAUUUUGAGGCAAUUCAUUUUUGUGUGUGCUUUGAAUUGUUAUUUCAGUCACCUGUUGUAACUGUCUACUUACUGUACCUGCUUGACAAAACUAUAUGUUUUGUUCUGUAGUUCCUACUGCUAUUGCUGCCAUUGACUUCCACAUGUACCUAAUGGGCAAAACUGAAGAUCAAAUUAAGUCACAAAUGUAUUGCAUGUUACCGUCUUGAUAGUCCCGGGGGAAAAGCUUGUGGUUUGAUCAACUAUUGGUGGCUUGCUAAGGCUACUAUUGUAGAGAUCAUGACUACUCUCUUUCACUCACAGUUUGUACACAAUAAGAUUAUAUCUACCAUGGAAACUGGGGAAUAAGUGUCAACAUUUUUGGUCAAGAAACCGAUUGAUGAUUGGUAUAUUACAUAUGCUCAGUUUAUCACUUUCUUCCAGUUUAUGGCCUCUUUGUGAUGCAUUUUUCCCGUGCUUGCCAUAAUUGAUGUAUUAAUACUCUACUGGUUCCUUAUACUCCAAUUUAGAGGUUUUCCAAAUAUUGUGAUGGAGUUCGUUUUCAGAAUUUUGUUAUGUCGAAGGAAAACAAUCAGGUUUACGCAAUUCAGAAAUUCUCAAGUUGCAUAAAAUAUAUUAUGUGUUAGUU